GACAGAGGGUGCAAACGUUGCUCGGAAUCACUGGGCGUAAAGGGCGUGUAGGCGGGAAGGAAAGUCAGAUGUGAAAUCCCUGGGCUCAACCCAGGAACUGCAUUUGAAACUCCCUUUCUUGAGUACCGGAGAGGAAAGUGGAAUUCCUGGUGUAGAGGUGAAAUUCGUAGAUAUCAGGAGGAACACCGGUGGCGAAGGCGGCUUUCUGGACGGUAACCGACGCUGAGACGCGAAAGCGUGGGGAGCAAACAGG
rnacentral:rRNA from 1 species